rnacentral:piRNA from 1 species
UGUGAAGAUCAUGCAGAACCAUGCCAGAAG